AAAGAUUCUUUGUAAUGUGUUUACACGGGGAGGAGUGAAGGCAGGGGCCUGGCUGUGCUCAAAGCACAUGGGCCCCCAGCCCUGUUUACACAAAGAGAGAAGGAGCCAAGAUAGAUGACCCUGUUGCUCAGGGGCCCAGAUUAAAAACCUAACCCAAGUCCAGAGCCCACGCGCAGGCUCCUCGUUUCUGAGCUACACCACACAGAAGCAGCUCCGAGGCGCCUUUCCCUGGGAGGCCUGCUGACUCUGCCGGGUGAGAGAUGUUUGCACAGGGAGGGAGGUGGCAGCGGCCAUCUGGCUGUUCCCUGGCUCAGCAGGGGAGCAUUUGCAGGUCAGGCACCGGCUGUGUUCCAGGGCCUGUGGGGAGGCAGCCCCUGGACAACAGUCUUUCUGAGAUACUUGUCUCUUCUUUGAGAGUGAAAAUGGACAGUUUGGGAAAAUUCUUGAAACAGUGCUAUUUUUUCCCCUUUAAUUCAUACCCACACCAAAUAAAUCUUCUAGGAUCUUUCCCCUAGUUUUAUUUUGCAGGGUGAGAAGAAACGCAGUUUUCAGCAUUUAAAGAAUCGUGAUGGUUGUUGGCACCUAUAAGGUACUUUGCAGUUCACAAAGCAUCAUCAUAUCCUCCAUUCCACACAAUCCUCAGGACAGCGGGGUAAGUAGUUGUGGCCAAAAUCGCCCCUAGUUUACAGAUGGAGAGUUGACACUUAGAGAAGUCAAGUCACCUGCAGGAAACCACACACCCAGGAAGAGGCAGCAGCCAGGUGACCACACAUUCCAUGCUCUUUCCACUCUGCCCCUGACUCCCCAUUUGGCGGAAAAGCAAGGUGUGCAGAGAGCUUGUUCCAACUUGUAACCCCCUUGCAGGUGGCACCCGGGAGACAGCCUUGUGUCUCAGAGACAUGGUGGAAGCCAAGACAGUGAGCCACAAGGGCACUAUGCUGGGACUAUGGGUCUGCCCUUGGGUAUCACCAAUGGGGCACUCCCUGGGCACCAGACGAAGCCUUAUGUUGACCAACUGUAUGAAAUGGCAUGUAACAUACACACUCUUCUACCACCAGUGGAAUCACAGAGGCUAGGGCAUGUGUUAUAGAAUCAUUGAAGCUUUCCUCCAAGUUCUCUAGUCCCUGCCUCCUCUUGGGCUUGAUCUCCCUGUGUUCAAACCUGCAUAUGUCCACCUGAAGCCAUUACCUGAGUUCCAAUUUCUGUCCUAGCCAGUUCUUCCCAGUUCUUUAUACUGCCUUUUAUAACCCAAAAUACCAAACCCACCCAACAGGUGUCAUUCCCAGCUUUCUCCUCUUUCUCUCUCCGUCUCUGUCCCUUAAGUCCAGCACCACUGCUCGAUUCAAAUGGCUUUGACUUGUAUGAUUGACUGGAACUUCUCAGCUCUGCUUUGGCCGCUCUUAGCCCAGUCCUUCUCUUUUCUUUCUUGCUGCUGUCAAAUCCUGGCUCUCCUCUCUUCUAGCCAAUCUAUCCUUUAGUGACUACCUUUCUAUGACAACGAAUGUGUUACUGGGUUCUGCAGCUUGCAAAGAACUUUUGCACACGUGCAUAUAGAAAUAAAUUCAUACGAAGUCUUAGUUAGAAGCUAGCUCCUCCUCUGUACCAGGUCUCCAUUCAUCUCCUGCCUAAACUACUAAAACUGUCUUUUGUUUGUCUUCACCUUGAAUGCACCUGAAUCCUGCCUGCCAUCUUUUUUUUUAACCAACCUACACUCAGAUCUUUCAUUACCUUCCUGAUAAAAUGCUAUUUAUAAGCUCUCAAGUAUUGUUCCUAUUGUGAAGGCCUCACUUCCCUUCCUCCAAAAAUUCUAAUUAGCUCUCUCCUGUACCCUUCUUUAUUUUCUCUCGACAUUCGGUACCUGUCGUCGAUUGUUAGCAUCAUCAGACUGUGAAUCCUGGAGCCAGAAGCUUUAAGGAUCAUGUGGCCGGUGAAUGAUAGCCACCCUGUGCUGCCUACGAGUGUUUGUACAUCCACAAUAUGCUUCCUUACACUGCCAAGAGACCACAGCUCAGCCCAGGAAAGGGGAGGAGGAGGCAGUCUCCUAGAAGCUGACCACUGUUUCCUCCACUCCGGGCAGAGGGAGGGAGAAGAGCAAAGUGGAGACCACACUCGCCUUCCCACUGCGUUCCCCAGCCACAACCUGGCCAACAGUAAAGGAGAGAACUUUAGAAUCAGAGGGACACAAGACAGAAGACACGCCAGUCCCUUUUACAAGCUCUGAAUAUGGUAUGAGGAGAUGACUGAGGCUGUGGCAGCCAUCUUGGGACCACCAAGGAAACAGCCAAAAGCAUCAGUCAGGUGUGUUAUAAAAUUUUCUCACUUGUCUUUUAAUUUUGUAAGUGUGUUUUUUUCAACUAGUUUUAAAAGGCUUUUAAUUUAAAAAUCUACCAUUUUUUUUUCAUGGUUCCUGUCUCUGGUAUUAUUUGAAUUGGAACUUUGGAUAGUAAGAGAUAGAUAUUGAGCUGAAAUAAGCUGUGGCAAAAGUGAGAAUUUAUUAACUCACAUAACCAGAAAGGACAGGGUGUAACCUAGCAUUGCAGGAGGUAGAGACUAGCCAUCCUCUGUUUGCUUCUCAGCUUGCUUUUCCCUCCUUGGCAGAGCUUUAUUUUCUCAUGAUGGCUGUAUCCAAAAGGCUAGAAUCACCGCCAAUGGCAGUGCCAGGAGACACAUCUUAGUUUCAUGAACAGGGAGGGGGUUCAAAGAAUCUCAAGGUGACUCAGACUGGUAGCCAGAGGAGUUAUUAGCCCUGCUUGGAUGAGGAGCUCACCUCUAGACCAGCCACCGUGGCCAGGAAGACGGAUUCACAUGAGAGGACACCGCUUGCCCAAACCACUUGUCCAUGGCAGCAGGGGGUGGGGAGUGCAAGGGCAGGGCAGGGCAGGGUCCUCGGAAGAGGGGAGCUGCUGGGUGGACGAGUCAAUGGAUGCCUACCUCAGGUGUCAUGCUUAAUAAUCUCCCACUGCCCAAAGGGUACAAAUAGUCACGCCUCCUUUCUUCUAUUACUUAUUUGGUUUUAUAUUUUAUGUUUAAAAUUUUAAUCCAUCUGGAAUUUAUUUUGAUCUAAGUAUAAAGUACACAUCUAAUGUUUCAUGUUUUCCAGAUUGGUAACCAAUAACCCCAAAACACAACCAUGUGAUGGGCUACAGAAAUAAGAGUUGUAGCGUGGAAUACUACUCAGCCAUAAAAAAGACAAAACUGUCCCAUUUGUGACAACAUGGAUGCACCUUCAGGGUAUUGUGCUGAUUGAAAUAAGUCAUGCAGAGAAAGAAGGGCACCAUACGAUUUCAUUCACAUGUAGCACACAAACAAACACAUAGAUAAGGAGAACAGAUUGGUGGUGACCA